rnacentral:rRNA from 1 species
AGCGAACGCUGGCGGCAGGCCUAACACAUGCAAGUCGAACGAACCUUUCGGGGUUAGUGGCGGACGGGUGAGUAACACGUGGGAACGUGCCUUUAGGUUCGGAAUAACUCAGGGAAACUUGUGCUAAUACCGAAUGUGCCCUUCGGGGGAAAGAUUUAUCGCCUUUAGAGCGGCCCGCGUCUGAUUAGCUAGUUGGUUGAGGUAAUGGCUCACCAAGGCGACGAUCAGUAGCUGGUCUGAGAGGAUGAUCAGCCACAUUGGGACUGAGACACGGCCCAAACUCCUACGGGAGGCAGCAGUGGGGAAUCUUGCGCAAUGGGCGAAAGCCUGACGCAGCCAUGCCGCGUGAAUGAUGAAGGUCUUAGGAUUGUAAAAUUCUUUCACCGGGGACGAUAAUGACGGUACCCAGAGAAGAAGCCCCGGCUAACUUCGUG